AUUGAACGCUGGCGGCAUGCUUUACACAUGCAAGUCGAGCGGCAGCGCGGGGGCAACCCUGGCGGCGAGCGGCGGACGGGUGAGUAAUGCAUCGGAACGUAUCCCGUAGUGGGGGACAACCCAGCGAAAGCUGGGCUAAUACCGCAUAUGCUCUACGGAGGAAAGUGGGGGACCCGCAAGGGCCUCACGCUAUGGGAGCGGCCGAUGUCCGAUUAGCUAGUUGGUGGGGUAAAGGCCUACCAAGGCGACGAUCGGUAGCUGGUCUGAGAGGAUGAUCAGCCACACUGGGACUGAGACACGGCCCAGACUCCUACGGGAGGCAGCAGUGGGGAAUUUUGGACAAUGGGGGCAACCCUGAUCCAGCCAUGCCGCGUGCGGGAAGAAGGCCUCGGUUGUAACCGCUUUGUUCGGGUAAGAAAGGACGACGUCCUAAUACGGCGUG
rnacentral:rRNA from 1 species